GUGGGGAAUAUUGGACAAUGGGCGAAAGCCUGAUCCAGCCAUGCCGCGUGUGUGAAGAAGGUCUUCGGAUUGUAAAGCACUUUAAGUUGGGAGGAAGGGCAGUAAGUUAAUACCUUGCUGUUUUGACGUUACCGACAGAAUAAGCACCGGCUAACUUCGUGCCAGCAGUCGCGGUAAUACGAAGGGUGCAAGCGUUAAUCGGAAUUACUGGGCGUAAAGCGCGCGUAGGUGGUUUUGUAAGUUGGAGGUGAAAUCCCCGGGCUCAACCUGGGAACUGCCUCCAAAACUGCAUGACUAGAGUACGGUAGAGGGUAGUGGAAUUUCCUGUGUAGCGGUGAAAUGCGUAGAUAUAGGAAGGAACACCAGUGGCGAAGGCGACUACCUGGACUGAUACUGACACUGAGGUGCGAAAGCGUGGGGAGCAAACAGGAUUAGAAACCCCAGUAGUCC
rnacentral:rRNA from 1 species